GUUUUAAUAAUUUAAUUUAAAAUAUUGGUCUUGUAAACCAACUAUAAGGAUUAUCCUUUUAAAACA
rnacentral:tRNA from 1 species